GAGAAAAGUGAGGGAUCCUACUGCUUAAAAAUGUAUCUCAGAACAAACAACUGAAACAUGAUUUGAUGUUUUGCCUUCUGCAAGUAGCUCCAGAUUCAUAGAAGCAGAUACUCAUCUGAAGUAAAUCCACAUACUUCAUUAAAUCGAUUAGCAGUGUUUUCCUGAUCUUCAUUAGAUAGAGAUUUGGCUGCUGGAACGCCUGUCGUCAGGGGGCACUGGGGAAGUCUCUGGAGGACACGGUCAUUAGGAGACUUCUUGCCCCCAGCAACCUCCCGCAGAAACAGCCAGGAUCCACUGCUCCAGAAAGAGCUGAUUUUGUUACAAAAGACCUGCUCGGGGAAGCACCAUAUCUGCUCAACCAAGGGAAAUCGGAUGGUUCCUCCUGCCGCUCGCUGCUUGGUGGGGUCCGGCUGGAGCGAACCCACCACAGCCGCCCCACCGACCUCCUCCAUCCUCAGCUCAGGACAUCUUUGCUCUUCGAUGAAGUGGCUCUGGGAGAAGCUUGUGGGACAGCCUUCCUACUUCAUUUUUAAGAAGCUGCAAUUACUAGUUCAGUGUAAAGAAGAACUGGUGUCCAAUCUGCAUCUUACAGCUUCUGAAUGAAGAAGGUAUCUGAAGAGUAGUUCAGUCUAGACAUCGAAUACAUUUAGGUGACAGGAGUGGGCACGUAAAUAUUCUAUAUCCAUUUAACAAGAAGGCUGCUCCCAUAAAAAGACACUCAGACUUCAGAAGCACUUUUGGAAGGAUUAAGUUACACAGUAAGCUUCCACUAAUCAGAUAAUGCCCUUCUUUUUUCUGAAGCAAAGAUUUCUAUGUAAUCUCUAAAGUAAGAUGAUUUAUCCAAAGAAUGAAUGUGAUAGAUUAACUUUGCUGUUGCUUUGAUUAUUUCUGCAAUUUUUAAGACAGAAAACUGUCUUAAAGAUAUUCUUAAAGAUAUUCUUAAAACUGUUGCUUUAAACCAAUUUUACAAAGAAUAAAAUAAAGGGUGGACUGUUUCGCAAAACCUUUUUUUGCAAGAAAAGUGCUGCUCCACUUGGAAAGUAGAAAAGCGUUUCACAAUUUUGCUGAAACUGGUGAAUACUUUCAAGAAGUUCCUGCAAACAGUAUGUGUUCCUCUGCUUAUCUUCUGUUUUACAAAGUUCCCAGGUAGACAGAGUUCACCUAAAAAUUAGCAGCCAUGCUGGAGACUCCUGCUCAAGACAGAGCAGCACUUUAAAGGCCAAGCAGACAUCUAAACGGCUGACAGUGCUUGUGCUAUUCUCACUUCUAUUCCCUAGAUGCAGUUACAUUUUUACAUCAAAGGCCAAAGUUACACUCUGACCUUUUCAUAUACUUCACAGUACUAUCAUUUAAAAGUUGCAAAAACAGAUGUGUGACAAUUACAAAAAAAAGUAGAAUUACAGCUUGUACUACAGAGAAAGUGGGGAAAACAGCAACAGCUACAAAAUAGGCUUCCUUGCCAAACUUUAUGUGCCAGGAUUUGAAUAAAUUACACCAUAAUUGGACAAAAGGGCUGGAUAUUAUUACAUAUUGCUGCUAAUUGGUAUUAUACAUUAAAGAGGUGCAAUAUGCCAUUGCAUAAAACAAUUUAAAAAUUGACAAAUAAUAUACUUUCAUUGGUAAUUUUCAGAAAUGAACAGUAUUUCCAUGAUGUCUAGUCUUUUUUCUUCUUCGAGCCAACUACUAUUUUUUAAUGGAUAUUAAGAACACUCACAGAAUCAGUUGUCAAAUAAUCGUUGAAAUGACAGAGCUAUCAAGGGCGAUUUCAGUACCUGGUGAAGGAGUAUUUUGAUCAAUUUCAAACUUAUUAAAGCCUUGCCUUACCUUAAAGAAACACAAAACAACAAAAGUAAGGCAAUGAACUGAGUUAAAUCAAAUGAAAAAAUACCUUCCUAUUAUAGCAGCCUUUCCCCUCUUUUGGAGGACCACAGUUCACAGCUUGCAACUGAAGGAAAAAUUCAUAACUGCAUCCAACUAAUACAGCCAUAAGCGUAUGUCUGCUCACCAAGGAAAUCUGCUACAGCAGGCUACUAGAGAAACCAAGGCCAGCGCUCUUGAAAUAGGGCAUGAUUACAGGCUGCAACCAUGGCUGCUAAGAGACAGGCAACAGCAAAGUAAACAGAAGAAGAAAAGAAAAGCCGAAGUGGAUAUAACAUUUACUCUUGGGUACCAAAUUCUGUCCAGUGAGAAAAUCCAGAGCACCUCCCAGAUGACAGCAGUUGUCACAGGGUCUUUAAGAGUUCCAGGAAAACUGCUGCUAGCACGGACACUGAAGAAAAUUAAUUCAUUAUCUGACUAGAUCUAAACUAGCUAUUUCAAAU